rnacentral:rRNA from 1 species
AGUGAACGCUGGCGGUAUGCCUAACACAUGCAAGUCGAACGGCAACACAGUAAGUUCUUGCGCUUACGGGUUGCGAGUGGCGGACGUGUGACGAAGACAUCGUAAUCUACUUUUUCGGAUGGGCUUACGUAGGUAAACUUACUCUCAUACCGCAUCCCACCUACGGUUGUAUGCAGGGGAUCUUUUCACCUUGCGCUAUUCUAUCAGCCUAUGUCGGAUUAGCUAGUUGGCGGGGUAAAGGCCCACCCAGGCGACGAUCCGUAUCUGGUGUGAGAGGAUGAUGCGCGACACUGGAACUGAGACACGGCACAGACUCCUACGGGAGGCAGCAGUGCGGAAUAUUGGACGAUGGGCGCAAGCCUGAUCCAGCCAUACCAGGUGGGUGCAGAAGGCCUUCGGGUUGUAAAGCCCUUUUGUUGGGAAAGAAAAGCUGCAGGUUAAUACAACGCUGUUCUGACGGUACCUAAAGAAUAAGCACCGGCUAACUUCGUG